rnacentral:rRNA from 1 species
GCUCGAGUGGCGAACGGGUGAGUAACACGUGAGUAACCUGCCCUUGACUUUGGGAUAACUUCAGGAAACUGGGGCUAAUACCGGAUAGGAGCUCCUGCUGCAUGGUGGGGGUUGGAAAGUUUCGGCGGUUGGGGAUGGACUCGCGGCUUAUCAGCUUGUCGGUGGGGUAGUGGCUUACCAAGGCUUUGACGGGUAGCCGGCCUGAGAGGGUGACCGGCCACAUUGGGACUGAGAUACGGCCCAG